ACCGUGCUAAGGUAGCAUAAUAGCUUGCCUUUUAAUUAAAGGCUUGUAUGAACGAACCAACGAGAGUUUGACUGUCUCCUAGAUAAACACGAAAUUUAACCUUUAUGUGAAAAGGCAUAAAUAAAACUAAAAGACAAAAAGACCCUGUCGAGCUUAAUUGCUAACCCCCCGAUAGAAAAAUAAUUUACUCUUUCCAGGAAAUAAACCAAUUUAGUUGGGGCAACAAGGGAACACCUAAACCUUCCCUUAUGAAAUUUAUUUUAAUCAAAAGACCCCCAAUCGGGCCAAAAGAUAAAAGCUACCGCAGGGAUAACAGGUUAAUUUUUCUCGAGAGUACACAUUAACAGAAAAGAUUGGCACCUC
rnacentral:rRNA from 1 species